ensembl:lncRNA
AGUGCUGAACCUGCCGGCCCCAUUCUGCGGGUGGUGCAGGUCCUGCGAGGAGCUGUGCGAGUGGUGCAGCAAUGCGGGCCCAGUUUGCCAGCGGAAUAAUAACAGCGCAGCGGCGUGUGAAGCUGGUGCAGGAGUUGCUGCAGGCUCAGGAGUGGGCCAAGGAGCAGCGCAAGGCCAAGGCCAGGAAAUCCUUGCUGAAGUACGCUCAGAGAAUACGGGAAGAAAGAACGGCUGCCAGGAAAGAGGAGCUGAAGCAGGAAAUGCAGCUCGUUGCCCAACUGGAAGAGCAGCUGCAGGCUGAGACAAAGGAGAUCAAGGAGAAGAAGGAGCAGGAGAGGAGACGUGGGCUCGCCUUCUGGAUGAAGACUGUCUGCCUCAUCUUUGUCAGCCUCCUGCUGCUGCUUGUUGCCGUGCUGGGCUCUGCAGUGCUGUAUGCCCAGCACUAUGACCAGGAGCUGUUGUAUCGGCUCCUGCUGCAAGUGCUGCCCCAGGCAAUGUACGCUUCCCUGGCGUACUUUGCGAGCAGGAGCCUGCGUGUGGUCUGUGAUGGGCUGCUGCCCAUCUGACCGCCCCUGUCAGUCCCCCCUCCCAGCUCGGGGCUGCGCAGGAGAGAGCUCUGUCCCCACGGAAGGGGCCUCUCCUGUGCUCCUGCCCCCAGGGGUGCACAGGCACAGCUGUGGGGCAGUGCCGGCAGGCGGCUGAGUGCUGGGACUUUGGACUUACAAAUAAGUUGGUACUGUCGUCGUCAACUGAACACCACCACCUCCGACGACCCAUCAGACUGAAGAUGUGCACCUGACGCCAGGACGUGGCUUCUUGGAUUCUUUGAGUCUUCGUAGCAGCCAUUUCCUUCAGCUGGUUACCUGUAAGGCUUAUGAAUUGUAAUUAGCCCAUUAGGCAAUGUUACCUCCAGUGGGCUGUUGUCAGUUGUUAAGAAUGCUGUCAAUAAAUGGAUGUG